rnacentral:rRNA from 1 species
UAGGGAAUAUUAGUAAUGGGCGAAAGCCUGAACUAGCAACGCCGCGUGUGCGAAGAAGGCCUUCGGGUUGUAAAGCACUUUUUGAGAGGAUGAGGAAGGACGGUACUCUCAGAAUAAGUCUCGGCUAACUACGUGCCAGCAGCCGCGGUAACACGUAGGAGGCGAACGUUAUCCGGAUUUACUGGGUGUAAAGCGCGUGUAGGUGGUUUGGUAAGUAGGGCGUGAAAGCUCCUGGCUCAACUGGGAGAGGCCGUUCUAAACCGCCGAACUAGAGGAUGGUAGAGGGAGGUGGAAUUCCGGGUGUAGAGGUGGAAUGCGCAGAUAUCCGGAGGAACACCAGUGGCGAAAGCGGCCUCCUGGACCAUUCCUGACACUCAGACGCGAAAGCUAGGGUAGCAAACGG